UUUUAGCCCUGAUCGAAAUGAAAAUCCCCGCCGCGGCGGGAUUGUAAUGUAGAGCAGGUAUCAUC
rnacentral:sRNA from 1 species